UGUGGUGCAGUGGUUAGCACAAUGGACUUUGAAUCUGGAGGUUGUUGGUUUGAUUCCAAGUCA
rfam:Asian citrus Psyllid, Diaphorina citri - Florida Strain, whole genome shotgun sequence.